rnacentral:rRNA from 1 species
CAGUCGCCACGGUAAUACGAAGGGUGCAAGCGUUAAUCGGAAUUACUGGGCGUAAAGCGUGCGUAGGCGGUGAGUUAAGUCUGCUGUGAAAUCCCCGGGCUCAACCUGGGAAUGGCAGUGGAUACUGGCUCGCUAGAGUGUGUCAGAGGAUGGUGGAAUUCCCGGUGUAGCGGUGAAAUGCGUAGAGAUCGGGAGGAACAUCAGUGGCGAAGGCGGCCAUCUGGGACAACACUGACGCUGAGGCACGAAAGCGUGGGGAGCAAACAGGAUUAGAUACCCGCGUAGUCCCUGUCUCUUAUCC